rnacentral:lncRNA from 1 species
UUUCAAACCAUAUGAAUGCAAGUUUGAGCAAAAUUACCGGGAAACAACUUAAACCAAAUUCAGUAAACUCAUGAUCGAAGUUGACAUGCAUUUGAACCUAUGGUUAUGAAAUCACAAAAUCCAAAUAGUUUCAGCUAGCUAAUUUACAAGCCACAGUCCCUAAUUAUUACACAUUAUAGAGUCUAAACUACCUUAAAUCAGCUGAAUCCCAUUAAAUAUAAGUCCCAACCUUAAAACAAAAUGAAAGGCACAUAAGGAGCUAUAGUAAACUAAACAAACCAAAGUCAAAUUGAGCAGGAAAUAGAAAAUUAGUGUAGAUCAUUUCCUUCAAGUUUGGUUACAUGACUUCAAGUUUGGUUACAUGACUUCAUGUUUGCAUUUCACAUGCUACUCAGGAGUCAGUGCAUAACUGGAAAUCAAAAAUAAUAGAAAAGUGAGGGGAUCAACAGUGAACAGCAGCAGUCAACCCAGAUUUGAUCAAUUAAUAAUGAAAUCAGCCUAUGAAAAUCAAUGGAGCAGUUGAAAAACUCUAAAAACAACUCUAAACCAUGACUUAAGCCAUUUUUCAAAUCAAAUAUGUAACUAAGGAAACUUAAAGGACCUCAGCUAACACUAGAGAAAUCAUAAAUCCAAAUGAGAAAAUUUUGGUAGUUCUUUGAUAGUGGAAUGCAAGAAUUUAAGAAAUUUCUAAAGAAUUUUUAGCCGUCUCAACUUUUCAGGAUUUCUUCUCUCUUCAAAAAUCUGAUGAAGUAAGGGUGCCUUUA